rnacentral:pre_miRNA from 1 species
CGAAAUAUCGAAAGAUAUUGUCGACCCGCAACGCAACGACGGUCAAACGCGCUCCGCUGAACUUUUUACUUUUCAUUUCACGUUGAAUUUGAAUUUUAACGUGAAAUGAAAAGUAUCAAGUUCAGUGGAGCGCGUUUGACCGUCGCUGCGUUGUGGGUCGACGAUAUCUUUUAAUAUUUCG